CCGGGGAAGGCGGGGGACCCGGGACUUCCAAGUGUACAUGCGGCCACUUGAAUUCCUUUGGUGAUGGUGCUUUAGCAGAGGACUAAUGCACGUCAGAGUUUUGCACAAAAAGCACACCGUAUGGGCGUCGCCGGUGGCUCCGUGGUAAAGACUCCGCCGGCCGAUGCCGGAGACACGGGCUGGAUCCCCGACCCGGGAAGACCACAAGCUGAGGAGCAGCUAAGCCUCCUGACAACCGCUGAGCCUCUGCUCUCGAGCCCGGGAGUUGCGACUACUGAGUUCGCGUGCUGCAGCUGCGGAGCCCAGGUACCACAGCUACCGAAGCCCGGGUCCCAGAGCCCCAGCUCUGCAAGGAGAGAAGCCGCUGCCACGAGAAGCCGACGCCCCAACGACUCGAGUGCAGCCCCUGCUCACCGCGACUGGAGAAAGCCUGUGUGCUGCAAGGAAGACGGCGCACAGCCUAAAGUAAGUAAACAAGUACAUAAAAUUAUUAAGGGCUUCCCUGGUAGCUCAGUUGGUAAGGAAUCCGCCUGCAGUGCAGGAGACCCUGGUUCAAUUCCUGGGUCGGGAAGAUUCGCUGGAGAAGGGAUAGGCUACCCACUCCAGCAUUCUUGGGCUUCACUUGUGGCUCAGUAACUCAGUUGGUAAGGAAUCCACCUGCAGUGCACGAGAAGUGAAGUGAAGUCACAGUCGUGUCCGACUCUUUGUGACCCCAUGGACUGUAGCCUACCAGGCUCCUCAGUCUGUGGGAUUUUCCAGGCAAGAGGACUGGAGUGGGUUGCCAUUUCCUGGUUCAAUUCCUGGGUCGGAAAGAUUGGGUGGAGAAGGGAUAGGCUACCCAUUCCAGCAUUCUUGGGCUUCCCUUGUGGCUCAGUUGGUAAAGAAUCUGCCCACAAUGCCAGAGACCUGGGUUCGAUCCCUGGGUUGGGACGAUCCCCUAGAGAAGGGAAAGGCUACCCCGUCCAGUAUUCUGGCCUGGAGAGUUCCAUGGACUGUAUAUCCGUGAGGUCAUAAAAAUAAAUAAAUAAAUACAUUGAACUAUUUUUAAAGUAUAUGGCAAAUAAGCUGUUUCCAUGUAAUAUUUUGUCUAAUAGUUAAAGUAAUUAUGCUCAUUAUAAAAAUUGGGGGAAACUUUGGAAAGUGUGAAGAAGAAAAUAAAUAUCACUCAUGAUCUCACUGCCUGUUUAUAACACUGCUAACUUUGAGAUAUACCCAUGGAUACAUGAGUAUGUAUAUCACAUACAUACGUGUAAACAAGGACAAGAGAAGAGCUUUGGUAAUUUUAUUGCAUACGAUUCUGUUUACUCCUAUGAACUUCAUGCUCUGAGCACUGUCUCCUGUCAGUACAGAAUUUUUUAUAAACAGUUUUAAGGGUUUGGUGGUAAAGCACUUCGUGGGCACAGCAUAAUGUUUCUCUCAGGAUUAUACAAGAAGGCUGUUUUCAAUUUUUCGCUAUUAUAAACAAGCUACAAUGAGCAUCCUUGUCCCAAGCCUGUAGAAUUUGUGAGGAUGAAAAGGGAUGAUCCAUGUAAAGUUUCAAAUAUAAGAGUGAUAAACAUUCAAAACGUUAUCCUUUCCAACUCUCUGGUUUCACCUACUUUUCUCCUUCUCUAAUUUUAAUGUAUUUUCCCCCUAAGCAGUGACAUUUGAUUUUCUUGGGCUUCAGAAUCACUGCGGAUGAUGACUGCAGUCAUGAAAUUAAAAGACACGUGCUCCUUGGAAGAAAAACUGUGACAAACGUCGUGUGCGUACUUGCUAACUUGCUUUGGUUAUGUCUGACUCUUUGCAACUCUAUGGACUGUAACCCACCAGGCUCCUCUGCCCGUGGGAUUCCCCAGGCAAGAAUACUGGAGUGGGUUGCCAUGCCCUCUUCCAGGGGAUCUUCCUGACCCAGGGACUGAACCCACAUCUUCUGUGACUCUUGCAUUGCAGGUUGAUUCUUUACCAUUUAGCCAUUAGGGGAGCCCAAUAUUCAUGUAUGCACACAUAUAUCUGAAAGUCAACAAUAUUCUAAAUGGCUAAUAGGUUCAUGAGUGAUAUUUAUUUUCUUCUUCACACUUUUCAAGGUUUCCCCCAAUUUUUACAAUGAGCCUAAUUACUUUAUCAGGUAGUCAAAAUAUUUCAUGGAAAUAGUUUAUUUACAAUAUGCUUUUCAUGCAUAUCUCUGAACACCUAUUCUUCCCCAUUAUAAUGCUGUCAUCAGUGGGAUUCAGCAGUUCACGUAGAGAUUUUUUGCUCAGUUAUCCCACCCUCGUGAGCCAAUCUCCUUGAGUCUGUGCGGUGUUCCAGAUCUAGAUGUGACUUUCCAUUCAUCUUUGCAGCUUUGGCCACCUCCCUGCCCAAAGCUCUGGCCCUGGGGCCAAGUCCCUCCGUCUCUUUCCAGCCCACCAUUGCCAGCUCUGGCCCUGGGGCCGAGUCCCUCUGUCUCUUUCCAGCCAACCAUUGCUAGCCUCCUUCCUGCAUCUUUACCUGGUGCUGCUGAGUUCUUAGACUGCUCAUGGCCAAGCCAGGACAAAACAACAGCCUCUGGCGUCCUUCUGGCCAGUUUGUAGCUACGAGGAGGAGCAGCAGCCGCUGGCGGAAAACAUGUCAAAUAGCCCUGGCUCCUAUGGGAAUCACAGAGGUAAGCGUUCUCACCCCUUUUAGCCACCUUUCACAUUUGAUUGAUUUUUUUCGAUUGGUUGUUUGCCUGACCUGAUCAGAGAGUUUGGGCAGUUUCUGUUGACACUUUAUUUCACUUUGGGUAAAGUUUAAACAUGACUUAUCACAACUCUGACACAUCUGGAAGGCCAUGUUUUGCCCUCCUCCUGUUUUUUUUACCUCUUUCAGUUAUGAGAAUGUACGGUAAAAAAAAAAAAGCAUUAUAUAUAUGUAGAUAUUACUUUGCAUCUAUUUGCAGAAAGGUCUUAGACAUUCCGGGUUGUAUUCACAGUUAGGUAAUCCUUUUUUUUGCUCAACAGCUAAAACUUUCAUAUUUAUUUCAUUUCCCACAGGUGAAAAAACAUCCUUUUCUUGGUGAAGCACCACUGUGGGAUUGCAAAGUCCCAGGACCAAGACUUUUUUAACUUUUUAUUUUGUAUCGGGGUAUAGCCGAUUCACAAACAAUACUGUGAUCAUUUCAGGUGAAUAGUGAAGGGACUCAGCCAUACAUAUACCUGUAUCCAUUCUCCCCCAAACUCCCCUCCCAUUCUGACUGCCUCAUAACAUUGAGCAGAGUUCCCUGUGCUGUACAGGAGGUCCUUGUUGGUUAUCCAUUUUAAAUAUAGCAGUGUGUACAUGUCCAAGACUUUCAUGUGUCUCUUUCCAGUGAAGUGGCUGAAGGUCUGGAGCUGAAGUUGCAAACGCCAUAGCAUCCUUGACUCUCAAGUCCAGGUUGAUAAAGAUCCGAAAGGCCCUCUGGGUCAGCCUUCUGCGUCAUGUGGAAGUCCCUGCUACAGACCUUUGUGUGGGAGUCACAGGUCUCUGUACCUGUCUAGCAGAGCCCACUGGGGGCUUAGUCUCUAAUUAAAACACCUCUCUCACACUAAAUCGGAGAAGGUGAUGGCACCCCACUCCAGUACUCUUGCUUGGAAAACCCAUGGAUGGAGGAGCCUGGUGGGCUGCAGUCUGUGGGGUCGCUAAGAGUCGGACACGACUGAGCGACUUCACUUUCACUUUUCACUUUCAUGCAUUGGAGAAGGAAAUGGCAACCCACUCCAGUGUUCUUUCCUGGAGAAUUCCAGGGACGGUGGAGCCUGGUGGGCUGCCGACUAUGGGGUCACACAGAGUCGGACACGACUGAAGUGACUUAGCAGCAGCUCACACUAAAUGGGAUAUUAUCUCCAGUUUCUUCUUCUCCCUACUUGUUCAGCCAGGUACGCUGCCAGGCUCAUGGGAUGUCAAGUCAAGUCAAUUUCAGGAUUUGUUCUUCUUUAUUGUUUAACGUUUAGUGUGCAUAGUAUUAGUUGCUCAGUCGUGUCCGACUCUUUGUGACCCCAUGGACUGUAGCCCGCCAGGCCCCUCUGUCCAUGGACUUCUCAGGCAAGAAUAGUGCAGUGGGCUGCCAUUUCCUUCUCCAGGUGAUCUUCCCAACCCAGGGAUCAAACCCAGGUCUCCUGCAUUGCAGGCAGAUUCUUUACCAUCUGAGCCACCAAGGAAGGCCCCCCCCCCCCAAUAAAUAAAUACAUGUUUUUUAUAAUAUUUUUUAAUUGGAGGAUAACUGCUUUACAACACUUCUGUGGUAUAACAGCUGCGUUACUUCUGUGGUAUCACACCGUGAAACAGCUCUAUGUAUGCCUAUAUCCCCUCCCUCCAGAGCCUCCCCUCCCUUCCCCCUACCCACCCC
ensembl:lncRNA